ensembl:lncRNA
ACACCUUUUGUUUCUAAAGUACUGAUUCUGUGAUUAACACUUUGAUUUUACGUACACUUGCACCUGAUUGAAUACUGCUUAUGAAGCUGUGAAAAGCAAUCUUUUGCUUCUAGGAAGAAAACUACCUUCUCACAAAUUCCAAGGUUGCUUGCUUUAAGGAGUCUCCGUGCAUGAACUGUUCAUCCCAUCAACCUCCAUCCCUUCCCUAUCUGGCCUAAAUGCGUUACAGGUGAUGACCAAAGGUGUUGAGAAAAUGUUCAGUAAGUGAGAAAUAAGAAGUACUAACCGAGAUACAUUGUGAAGUUUAGGUAGUGCUUGCAUUACUGAAGCUACUUUUCAAGAACUGGAACUGUUAUUCUGACGCUAGGCAGGAAAAGACAGAACAGAACUGUUGUAUUGCAUAAGCUCUGGACUGCACUCCUCUAGCACCACUCCCAGCAGAAGCCAUUUGGAUGUGACUGUAUAUUAGAGGUAAAAAAACAUACCUGCAGCUUACAAACUCUGGUUGGCCCUCUAUGUAUGCAGAAACCUUGGUUUGGCUAUUUUUGGUUCAUUGGUUGGUUUUACUUGCACAUAAACCUGAAUUACCACAGCACAGUGAAAACAAAGUUCUCCCUCUGAUCCAGAUCAUAUUUCAAAGCAUUACUAAGUGGAUGAAAGGCUCUGUCUGUGUCAUUUACUUUUCAAUAAAAUGCCCAGUUCACCUGGAAAGUUCAGAAGUGUAGCACCGAUCCAAAAUAAUCCCUCCAAACAAUUUUAAGUGUUUGCAAGAUCCUGAUUUGCCAGCAUUUUUCAGUUGCUAGAUCAGGAAAGAGCUGCUAGUAGAUGCUUGGAGCAUUAGGCUUUAUUUUGCUAAUAAGGAAUGACUGCAGCAUCUCAGAAAACAGUCAAAGUCAUUCUAUAAAUAGUGAAGGUUUCUGUUACAAAAAGCAUUUGCAUACAUUAAAUCAAGAUGCCACAAUUAAGGUAACAAAUUCAGAUGAAUGUACAAAUAAAGAAUAAGUGGUGAAUAAACUCAACUGCACACAAUACUGGGAGAAGUACACAACUGAGACAAGAUAACAUUUUUGUGCAUUUGGGGAGGUAUUGUUAUACUCUCACUGGUUUGAUACAAAUUGCUAAUAGUGAAUAUUAUAAUGACAACAUGCAAGUCUAUUAAUAAAAUACACUGUCGCAGGUCCUCUAAGACUUUACUAAGUACAACACAGCAUUUUCAUAAUUAUAAUCAGCUAAAUAGCUGGUUGAGUGAGUGCUGCAAUUUGAAUUACAAAAUUAAAAUGUUUGAACUAUUUUCCUGCAAAUCUGGAAUGGCUUCUUAAAAGAUCUAAAGUGCCAGUGGAGUGGCAGGAUUCUCCAUAGUCAGUGAUUGUCUGCUGUUUGCAAUCAGUCCCCAAUUUGUCAUGCUGCUUCCAAUAAAAUAUUAAUGUAAUCAGAUGAAAUUAUUUCCCUUCCAGGCCCAAAUUUGGUUUGGAGUCAGUGUCAUGUUUGCUAUUGUUCUAAAUGAGUACAUGGUGCUCCAAGGACAUGAGAGGUGGUAAGGAAGCAAAAAGUGACAAUUUAAAAAUGAUACUUGAAGUAGCAUUACAAAGUGUUACACAGCAUUAUAAAGCACUGUGGUUUAGGCUGCCAUAGUCCAGAAACAUCACCCCAGAGAUCUUAGAAACUUCCUAGCUGAGGAAAGGAGUAGAGACUGUCACACCAUUUCUAUUGUCCAAUUAACAUCAGUUAACAACAGCAGAGCUAAAAACUGUGAACACUGAAAAUCUAUUAAAAAAAACAGUUACUUGAACAAGACAGAACCACAAAUAGUCACAAUUAGUGGAGCUAUAGAUCUUAAGUGAUCAAAAGUGAAUGUCGAGAUAAAGAAAGUGAAUUUGACUACAUUUUUCCAUUAGAAAGAUCUGAGCUUCUUACCCAUUAAAUCCGGUCAUUAGUCUGGAGAUGUAAAUCAAGUUACAAUUGAACAGAAACAAUUACAUUUUGGUUUUGGUUGACAGUAAGCUCAGGUUUCAAAUCUAAUAGAGUUAUUUUGUGACCUCGAGCACCUCAUCUAAAGUUCUUUCCAUCCCUAAAUGAAGAUAAUAUUUUCCUGUCUUUCUAAAGAGCUUCAAAACCUUUGCUAGGGUGUAAUUAUUUAUGUCUACACCUCUGAAAGGAUAACUCAACAAGAUGGCUGUUUGCACACCUGAGCCUGGAUGGUGCUGCGAACAAAAUAUUUACUUUAUCUGUAUCCAAAUAAAUUGUACUAGAAGUAU